rnacentral:rRNA from 1 species
AUACGUAGGGUGCGAGCGUUGUCCGGAAUUACUGGGCGUAAAGAGCUCGUAGGUGGUUUGUCGCGUCGUCUGUGAAAUUCUGGGGCUUAACUCCGGGCGUGCAGGCGAUACGGGCAUAACUUGAGUACUGUAGGGGAGACUGGAAUUCCUGGUGUAGCGGUGAAAUGCGCAGAUAUCAGGAGGAACACCGGUGGCGAAGGCGGGUCUCUGGGCAGUAACUGACUCUGAGGAGGGAAAGCAUGGGUAGCGAACAGGAUUAGAUACCCGGGUAGUCCAUGCCGUAAACGGUGGGCGCUAGGUGUAGGGGUCUUCCACGACUUCUGUGCCGUAGCUAACGCAUUAAGCGCCCCGCCUGGGGAGUACGGCCGCAAGGCUAAAACUCAAAUGAAUUGACGGGG